CCCUGUGUGUGUGUUGCGCUUUCUUGACAGCAAAACACACACGCACGUUAGUGACAGCGGCGUCAUGUCAGCGAUAGGGAAGCGGCAACACAACCUCUCCUCCUCCUAUAGGCGGCGUCGAACGACACCUCAAUCAAGCCAAUCACAGGUUACAACCAGCCAUUGCUGUGCCUGAGUAUACACUUCCAUGAGCCAAAACUACACCAGGAAAUGUGUACGCCAUUCACCAAGCGGUUUCAUUAACAUUAUAUUUGAAUAGUUUGGACAUUAGUUCGGCAUGCAGCGAUACCAAGGGGCCUCCAGAUGGUGCAAACACUACAACUAUCAGCAUGCCCGGACCCCAAAGGCUGCA